rnacentral:rRNA from 1 species
AUGCUACUGAAGAAAGAGAGAGAGGGGGCAUGGUGUACUGGGAGGCACAUGCAUGCCCUAGCUAGUGUGCUGCUCUGGGGUGAAAUAUUUGUCCAUCUCCAGGCUGAACAGUGUCCAAGCAUGAGGCUUUUGGGGGCCCUUGCUAUUUGUACCUUUUUUCCAUCAUCAGCAAUAAAAGAUGUUGCCAUUUACUACAUUAUCUUGAAAGAAUGUGAGGAUUUAUAUGCUUUGCCUUUGCGGGUAUGCUAUGAGGCCAGCCAUGUGUUUCUGUUCCUCUUAUUUUUCAAACAGAGCUCAAUAUAA